GAUGAACGCUGGCGGCGUGCCUAAUACAUGCAAGUCGAGCGAACAGACGGGGAGCUUGCUCCUCUGACGUUAGCGGCGGACGGGUGAGUAACACGUGGAUAACCUACCUAUAAGACUGGGAUAACUUCGGGAAACCGGAGCUAAUACCGGAUAAUAUAUUGAACCGCAUGGUUCAAUAGUAAAAGACGGUUUUGCUGUCACUUAUAGAUGGAUCCGCGCCGCAUUAGCUAGUUGGUAAGGUAACGGCUUACCAAGGCAACGAUGCGUAGCCGACCUGAGAGGGUGAUCGGCCACACUGGAACUGAGACACGGUCCAGACUCCUACGGGAGGCAGCAGUAGGGAAUCUUCCGCAAUGGGCGAAAGCCUGACGGAGCAACGCCGCGUGAGUGAUGAAGGUCUUCGGAUCGUAAAACUCUGUUAUUAGGGAAGAACAAAUGUGUAAGUAACUAUGCACGUCUUGACGGUACCUAAUCAGAAAGCCACGGCUAACUACGUG
rnacentral:rRNA from 1 species